rnacentral:rRNA from 1 species
UACGGGGGGAGCAAGCGUUGUUCGGAUUUACUGGGCGUAAAGGGCGCGUAGGCGGCCACCGCAAGUCGGUUGUGAAAUCUCUGGGCUUAACCCAGAAAGGUCAACUGAUACUGUGCGACUAGAGUGCGGAAGGGGCAACUGGAAUUCUCGGUGUAGCGGUGAAAUGCGUAGAUAUCGUAAGGAAGACCAGUGGCGAAGGCGGGUCUCUGGACAGUUCCUGACGCUGAGGCACGAAGGUCAGGGGAGCAAACGGG